GGUGGCAGGGUAACCUAGUGGUUAGAGUGUAGAGGUGGCAGGUAGCCUAGUGGUUAGAGUGUAGAGGUGGCAGGGUAGCCUAGUGGUUAGAGUGUAGAGGUGGCAGGUAACCUAGUGGUUAGAGUGUAGAGGUGGCAGGGUAACCUAGUGGUUAGAGUGUAGAGGUGGCAGGUAGCCUAGUGGUUAGAGUGUAGAGGUGGCAGGGUAACCUAGUGGUUAGAGUGUAGAGGUGGCAGGGUAACCUAGUGGUUAGAGUGUAGAGGUGGCAGGUAGCCUAGUGGUUAGAGUGUAGAGGUGGCAGGUAGCCUAGUGGUUAGAGUGUAGAGGUGGCAGGGUAGCCUAGUGGUUAGAGUGUAGAGGAGGCAGGUAGCCUAGUGGUUAGAGUGUAGAGGUGGCAGGGUAACCUAGUGGUUAGAGUGUAGAGGUGGCAGGGUAGCCUAGUGGUUAGAGUGUAGAGGUGGCAGGGUAACCUAGUGGUUAGAGUGUAGAGGUGGCAGGGUAGCCUAGUGGUUAGAGUGUAGAGGUGGUAGGUAGCCUAGUGGUUAGAGUGUAGAGGUGGCAGGGUAACCUAGUGGUUAGAGUGUAGAGGUGGCAGGUAGCCUAGUGGUUAGAGUGUAGAGGUGGCAGGGUAACCUAGUGGUUAGAGUGUAGAGGUGGCAGGUAGCCUAGUGGUUAGAGUGUAGAGGUGGCAGGGUAACCUAGUGGUUAGAGUGUAGAGGUGGCAGGUAGCCUAGUGGUUAGAGUGUAGAGGUGGCAGGGUAGCCUAGUGGUUAGAGUGUAGAGGUGGCAGGUAGCCUAGUGGUUAGAGUGUAGAGGUGGCAGCGUAGCCUAGUGGUUAGAGUGUAGAGGUGGCAGGGUAACCUAGUGGUUAGAGUGUAGAGGUGGCAGGUAGCCUAGUGGUUAGAGUGUAGAGGAGGCAGGGUAGCCUAGUGGUUAGAGUGUAGAGGUGGCAGGGUAGCCUAGUGGUUAGAGUGUAGAGGUGGCAGGGUAACCUAGUGGUUAGAGUGUAGAGGUGGCAGGGUAACCUAGUGGUUAGAGUGUAGAGGUGGCAGGGUAGCCUAGUGGUUAGAGUGUAGAGGUGGCAGGGUAGCCUAGUGGUUAGAGUGUAGAGGUGGCAGGGUAGCCUAGUGGUUAGAGUGUAGAGGUGGCAGGUAGCCUAGUGGUUAGAGUGUAGAGGUGGCAGGGUAGCCUAGUGGUUAGAGUGUAGAGGAGGCAGGGUAGCCUAGUGGUUAGAGUGUAGAGGUGGCAGGGUAGCCUAGUGGUUAGAGUGUAGAGGGGGCAGGUAGCCUAGUGGUUAGAGUGUAGAGGUGGCAGGGUAGCCUAGUGGUUAGAGUGUAGAGGUGGCAGGGUAGCCUAGUGGUUAGAGUGUAGAGGUGGCAGGUAGCCUAGUGGUUAGAGUGUAGAGGCGGCAGGGUAGCCUAGUGGUUAGAGUGUAGAGGUGGCAGGGUAGCCUAGUGGUUAGAGUGUAGAGGAGGCAGGGUAGCCUAGUGGUUAGAGUGUAGAGGUGGCAGGGUAGCCUAGUGGUUAGAGUGUAGAGGAGGCAGGUAGCCUAGUGGUUAGAGUGUAGAGGAGGCAGGGUAGCCUAGUGGUUAGAGUGUAGAGGUGGCAGGGUAACCUAG